UACGUAGGGUGCAAGCGUUGUCCGGAAUCAUUGGGCGUAAAGAGCUCGUAGGCGGCUUAGUAAGUCGGGUGUGAAAACUCUAGGCUCAACCUAGAGACGCCACCCGAUACUGCUAUAGCUAGAAUCCAGUAGGGGAGUGUGGAAUUCCCAGUGUAGCGGUGAAAUGCGCAGAUAUUGGGAGGAACACCAGCGGCGAAGGCGGCACUCUGGGCUGGUAUUGACGCUGAGGAGCGAAAGCGUGGGUAGCGAACAGG
rnacentral:rRNA from 1 species